AGCGAACGCUGGCGGCAGGCCUAACACAUGCAAGUCGAACGAAGUCUUCGGACUUAGUGGCAGACGGGUGAGUAACGCGUGGGAACAUACCCUUUUCUACGGAAUAGCUCUGGGAAACUGGAAUUAAUACCGUAUACGCCCUACGGGGGAAAGAUUUAUCGGGGAAGGAUUGGCCCGCGUUGGAUUAGCUAGUUGGUGGGGUAAAGGCCUACCAAGGCGACGAUCCAUAGCUGGUCUGAGAGGAUGAUCAGCCACAUUGGGACUGAGACACGGCCCAAACUCCUACGGGAGGCAGCAGUGGGGAAUAUUGGACAAUGGGCGCAAGCCUGAUCCAGCCAUGCCGCGUGAGUGAUGAAGGCCUUAGGGUUGUAAAGCUCUUUCACCGAUGAAGAUAAUGACGGUAGUCGGAGAAGAAGCCCCGGCUAACUUCGUGCCAGCCGCCGCCGUAAUAC
rnacentral:rRNA from 1 species